UAAAUAUUUUUUGGUUCUAUCACCAAAGCAAAAGUCACAUCUAGCAACAAGAAUGCCCCAAGUUACUCAGCUUUUUCCCUUACCCUUUUAGACAAAGGACAGCAAUGGGACAGUUAUAGGGCUGUCCCCACUGGUGGAAAAUGCUAGCCUCAUUAAUGCAUGUGUUUGCUUUGCUUCCCAACUUGCAUAAGCAAUCUCUUUAUGCGAACCUCAUGUAUUGCAUUUCUUUUAGCCUCAAAACCCCCAUUCGUCUAUUCCCUGCCAAACGCGGCAUUGUAGUCCAAUUGGCUUCUUCUCCUCUAUCAGAUAACAGAUAGAGGGAAGGUCUGUUACUGAUCUUCGUUUUAAUAGGGAUUGCCGUCUUCCUCAUUCGGGAAAGUUCCUGCUCUUGUAUUGUGUUCAUGCCAGUGAAUCAGUGAUAUACUCUCAUUUCAUUGGCUACAGCCCAACACCAUACUAUCAGAUUGUCCCUUUUCUUUUCUGUGGUAAAAACAGUUACUUUGUGGUUAUUGGUCCUUGAAAAUUUCAUCAAAAGUCUAGCAUGUGGGGAUGAGGUCAUGUGAUGCAGCCAAGGAUGACUUGCCGGCAAGGUUUGGUUUGUAUAAUAAAAGUGACCGGCAAGUCAUCUCUGGCUACAUGAGACCCUCAUUUUCUCAUGCUCGGUUUUUAGAUGAAAUAGCCCUACUAUCACUUCUGGAGAUCGCAUACACUUCUCAGAAUUUGGAACUGACUAAUGCAACUGUAAGCUGCUUAGAAGUUUAAUGGACUUUCAUGCCAGCGGAAAACAUGGCACAUAAAGUACGAAAAUACAAACUCUGACAGUUAAAUAUUUAAGCUUUCAAGUUCCUCUUCAGGUUGAUGUAAUCAAUCUUGCUGACUUUUGCAGGUUUUAUGCGCACCCCGUUUGUGUCAAGUUUCCCUUGACUUCGCACCAAGGAAUGAAGCAUGCGGAGAUUUGAUUACUGUCUUCUCUGGUAGGAAUAUUAUUGAAAUGAUUCCAAGUUGUUACGCAUGUAUGGAGUGGUAAGUACUUGUCACUUCUUGUUUCAUCACCUACAAAGCUAGCUAGUGUUCCUGUUUGCACUCUUGGCUAUCAUAGAGGCACAACUUUGCAAUUCAAGGUGGCUGGCUCCACAUACGAGAUCCGUUGCAGUUUUCAGGGACCAAUGAAUACAACUCACAAGAUUAGGUUACCCAUUUUCUUUAGGCUUCAGUGUUGAGUUGCGACUACAGAGUUAUUAUCCAUAUGCAGCAAGAAAAAAGAAGCCUCUCUAAAGUUUCAUCUGAUUGCUCAUGUGCUACAGUAAGUUUCUAUCACGUACAGGGCUUCUUCUCUACCGUAGGAUGCAAUUUCUCGAGGUUGUUUCAUUCAUUUUCACCAUAAUAGAAUAGCAGCAAAUUGUUCUGGAAAAUUUAUGGAGACAAGACAUGCAAGCAACUCUGCUCCGGAUCUAGCCACUGUAAGCGGCUAUUUCAAGGUUCUUUUAUAUCAAUAUAUUCUAUGGCUUCUCAUGGAA